CCUGCUUCCAGGAAAAGCCUCUAAGCAUCAGGUAACAUCAAAUCGUACCCCAAACCGACACAGGUGGUCAGGUAGAGAAUACCAAGGCGCUUGAGAGAACUCGGGUGAAGGAACUAGGCAAAAUGGUGCCGUAACUUCGGGAGAAGGCACGCUGAUAUGUAGGUGAAGUCCCUCGCGGAUGGAGCUGAAAUCAGUCGAAGAUACCAGCUGGCUGCAACUGUUUAUUAAAAACACAGCACUGUGCAAACACGAAAGUGGACGUAUACGGUGUGACGCCUGCCCGGUGCCGGAAGGUUAAUUGAUGGGGUCAGCGCAAGCGAAGCUCUUGAUCGAAGCCCCGGUAAACGGCGGCCGUAACUAUAACGGUCCUAAGGUAGCGAAAUUCCUUGUCGGGUAAGUUCCGACCUGCACGAAUGGCGUAAUGAUGGCCAGGCUGUCUCCACCCGAGACUCAGUGAAAUUGAACUCGCUGUGAAGAUGCAGUGUACCCGCGGCAAGACGGAAAGACCCCGUGAACCUUUACUAUAGCUUGACACUGAACAUUGAGCCUUGAUGUGUAGGAUAGGUGGGAGGCUUUGAAGUGUGGACGCCAGUCUGCAUGGAGCCGACCUUGAAAUACCACCCUUUAAUGUUUGAUGUUCUAACGUGGACCCGUGAUCCGGGUUGCGGACAGUGUCUGGUGGGUAGUUUGACUGGGGCGGUCUCCUCCUAAAGAGUAACGGAGGAGCACGAAGGUUGGCUAAUCCUGGUCGGACAUCAGGAGGUUAGUGCAAUGGCAUAAGCCAGCUUGACUGCGAGCGUGACGGCGCGAGCAGGUGCGAAAGCAGGUCAUAGUGAUCCGGUGGUUCUGAAUGGAAGGGCCAUCGCUCAACGGAUAAAAGGUACUCCGGGGAUAACAGGCUGAUACCGCCCAAGAGUUCAUAUCGACGGCGGUGUUUGGCACCUCGAUGUCGGCUCAUCACAUCCUGGGGCUGAAGUAGGUCCCAAGGGUAUGGCUGUUCGCCAUUUAAAGUGGUACGCGAGCUGGGUUUAGAACGUCGUGAGACAGUUCGGUCCCUAUCUGCCGUGGGCGCUGGAGAACUGAGGGGGGCUGCUCCUAGUACGAGAGGACCGGAGUGGACGCAUCACUGGUGUUCGGGUUGUCAUGCCAAUGGCACUGCCCGGUAGCUAAAUGCGGAAGAGAUAAGUGCUGAAAGCAUCUAAGCACGAAACUUGCCCCGAGAUGAGUUCUCCCUGACCCUUUAAGGGUCCUGAAGGAACGUUGAAGACGACGACGUUGAUAGGCCGGGUGUGUAAGCGCAGCGAUGCGUUGAGCUAACCGGUACUAAUGAACCGUGAGGCUUAACCUUACAACGCCGAAGGUGUUU
rnacentral:rRNA from 1 species